rnacentral:rRNA from 1 species
GUACGUCCUUGCUUUUUUCGGAAAGCGAGGGAGUGGCGGACGGGUGAGUAACACAUGGGGAUCUGCCUUCAGGUGAGGAAUACCCUCGGGAAACCGGGGACAAGACCGCAUAGGCUCUUUGAGGGAAGCCGAGGAGAGCAAAGCCGUAAGGCGCCUGGAGAGGGCCCUGUGGCCGAUUAGCUAGCUGGUGGGGUAACGGCUCACCAGGGCCACGAUCGGUAGCUGGUCUGAGAGGACGAGCAGCCACACUGGGAUUGAGAACGGCCCAGACUCCUUCGGGGGGCAGCAGUGAGGAAUUUUCCGCAAUGGUCGCAAGACUGACGGAGCAACGCCGCGUGCAGGAGGACGGCCUUCGGGUUGUAAACUGCUUUUCCAGGGGACGAGAACGGACGGUNACCCUGGGAAGAAGCCCCGGCUCACUACGUG